rnacentral:rRNA from 1 species
GACGAACGCUGGCGGCGUGCCUAAUACAUGCAAGUUGAGCGCUGAAGGUUGGUACUUGUACCAACUGGAUGAGCAGCGAACGGGUGAGUAACGCGUGGGGAAUCUGCCUUUGAGCGGGGGACAACAUUUGGAAACGAAUGCUAAUACCGCAUAAAAACUUUAAACACAAGUUUUAAGUUUGAAAGAUGCAAUUGCAUCACUCAAAGAUGAUCCCGCGUUGUAUUAGCUAGUUGGUGAGGUAAAGGCUCACCAAGGCGAUGAUACAUAGCCGACCUGAGAGGGUGAUCGGCCACAUUGGGACUGAGACACAGCCCAAACUCCUACGGGAGGCAGCAGUAGGGAAUCUUCGGCAAUGGACGAAAGUCUGACCGAGCAACGCCGCGUGAGUGAAGAAGGUUUUCGGAUCGUAAAACUCUGUUGGUAGAGAAGAACGUUGGUGAGAGUGGAAAGCUCAUCAAGUGACGGUAACUACCCAGAAAGGGACGGCUAACUACGUG